rnacentral:lncRNA from 1 species
GCUGAGAGAUUGAAGUCCCUGGGAACGAGGUUAUGGGGCAACGUGACAGACCCGAGGGAAGUAAAUCACCAGAACCGAUGACAUUUUUCCAGAUGGAAACAGAACGGAAGGUCUAAUCAGGAAGAGGAAUGAGGGUCUAACUCAGCAAGGUUUACCGAUGGCUGCAGGAAAGCUGCUGACGUGACCCUCCUCUCCAAGGACAGAGGUCAGGGGCCGGGGGUCGAGAGCAGGGGCGGUCGAUGAGCAUCCUCGAGGCCGGCCGGCAGGCAGGCAGUAGGCGGUCGGGCGGUCUGCGGGGUUGGGGCUUCCUGGGUGUUCAUUUAUUCAUGCAGGCUGUGUCUCGCCACGCUGGGCUUGGCUCACAGGAAGCACAUCGCAUAAAGCAAUAUAAAUAAGUGAUAAAGUGCUGCAUCUUUAAGGUGGACUCAGAGGUCAGAGGGGAGGGGUGGGAAGACCUUCCGUCAUCUCCUGCAUCGCGCAGUGAUCGAGCCAGACAAGCCCAGAGUGUCCGUGCCGCUCUGCCCAGCGCUCAGGGACUUCUGGGAUUGAGUCCCGAGAGGACAGGGUCAGUCCUACCUCGAGGGGGAGCACAGAGAAGGCUACACCACUGCCCAGCUACACAGGCCCAGGAGCUAGGACACUGCGAAGACCUGCCGAGAGCAGAGGGCCACACCACAGGACAGGCGGAGCCUCCCCCACAGGCCUGCUGGCUCCGUCGUCCUCGCUUUUGCACUCGGGGAGCGUGGCUUGGAUUCCCGCCAGGCAACCUUGCACACAGCUCCACCCAACAGAGGCUGUGCUUUUUGACUGGAACCGUGAACCAAGCUCCUGACCAACGCGGCCCACCUGCCCUCCGAGCCAGAAGGGAAGUUGGUGCUCAGCAGCAGGUCAUCAGCCAGGCAGGCCCAGGGUAA